UACGUAGGGUGCAAGCGUUGUCCGGAAUUAUUGGGCGUAAAGAGCUCGUAGGCGGCUCGUCGCGUCGGCUGUGAAAACCUGGGGCUCAACCCCGGGCCUGCAGCCGAUACGGGCGAGCUAGAAUUCGGUAGGGGAGACUGGAAUUCCUGGUGUAGCGGUGAAAUGCGCAGAUAUCAGGAGGAACGCCGGUGGCGAAGGCGGGUCUCUGGGCCGAUAUUGACGCUGAGGAGCGAAAGCGUGGGGAGCGAACAGG
rnacentral:rRNA from 1 species